GCUUCACCUGGUUCAAGCCUACGGCGGGCGUUCGCAGGAGUUGUAAGCACGACCUUGCGAACAUCUCAGUGCGCACUCCUGGAAAUUUGAGUCAAUAUGUUCUACCCCAAGCGCCCAGUCGAGGCGAACACUAUGAGUUUCGUGUUUAUUAUUAGACGAGGCGCUCCUGCUAUCCCGCUGGUUGCCUACGAACGUGAGAGUUUCGGUUGUCUUCGAGCGUCUGACAACCACGAUGUUCCACGCAUCGUGAAACAACAAACGUAUGCACCAAACGCGUUUCGAAUUCAGCAAAGCGAAAGAGCAAACUCUCGAUGCGGCCGGUGACACCUACCGUCGGUAUGUGGCGUCGCCUUUUCUUUACGCUGGUUUUUGUACGAAAUAAAGGUGUUCCGACAGAAAAAGCUACGGGUGCGCGACCAUACCCUACACCAAAGGAGUUCCAGUUUUCAGGGCCUUUCUGAGUGCCGCCAAUUGUGGUGCUCAGACUGCUUAAGACAGCCUAAAGCGUUGGGUUUAAAUACCAUUUUCGUUCAAUGCCGUGCACCAGAUGGAAACUGCGCCCGAGACAGGCUGAAUCAGUUUGCGCAGCAGUUAUGUGGCCUGGCCUCAAAGUGAGAAUUCCAUAUUUGUCAGAGAACGGUUUUGUCUGGAACGGACACAACGUCGGAGCGUCACAUGCCCACAUCUGAAGCAGUCCUCACACAUCUCCCCCCCUGCGGUCCUUGUGACCACCGUCCAUUCUAAGAGGAACCCGGUCGACAUCCUUUUGAUCUCUGAUUUCCGCAGAUAGGGGGGAAAGCCUUCACGUUUUGCUUUUCAUGUCUUAUAUCCAGAAACUGUAUUUCUGCGACAAUGAACCGCUCCGACCUCUCCUUUUUCGAACGACUCAACUCACAAUUUCUAUCCGGCCUAACUCGCCAUGUAUGUGUUUCUACGCCGAGAAAUCUACGUGGCUUUUUGCUUACACUGCCCAUGAAUCACAUCAUCUACGUAAACAACAAUGGACGUGUAGGUAUGUUUUAACUCACUGCAGAGCACAAUGUAUGCACAUGUGCAGACAUCUAUAGUUAAAUAGUUAGGGAUGUCUCCAAGUUGUAGCAAGACGGCUGUUAGGCUGGUGUUUGUGGGUGGCACGAGUUCGUCUCUGCUUUGUCAUAAUAGGCCUUUUGGGCCUUUGGUUGCCGCGCAUCCGUCCAGGCGUUUAAAGCAAAGUUCGUUCUAAAGCCCAUAAAAAAUUACACGCUCGGGUUUAUAGGGAGUCUCUGUGGCGUGCGUGGAGUGCACAUCUGUCUCAGGAAGGUCUGUUUGAAAGUGUCUUCUCUCGGCUUCUUAACCCGCGUUUUCCUGUCGGACUCUUCUACAAACCGAACCGUUGAAAAGUGGAAAAAGGUCCUUCGCUGAGAGGAAUCAGGGCACCCUGUAUGCGCGGGGGGCUACCUGCCGCUGUCUUUACAAGAUCGA
rnacentral:lncRNA from 1 species